rnacentral:rRNA from 1 species
CCUACGGGAGGCAGCAGUGAGGAAUAUUGGUCAAUGGGCGCGAGCCUGAACCAGCCAAGUAGCGUGAAGGAUGACUGCCCUACGGGUUGUAAACUUCUUUUGUCAGGGAGCAAUUUGCGCUACGUGUAGCGUUAUCGAUAGUACCUGAAGAAAAAGCAUCGGCUAACUCCGUGCCAGCAGCCGCGGUAAUACGGAGGAUGCGAGCGUUAUCCGGUUUUAGUGGGUUUAAAGGGUGCGUAGGCGGAAUGCCAAGUCAGCGGUAAAAUCGCGGGGCUCAACCUCGCUCCGCCGUUGAAACUGGCGGUCUUGAGUGGGCGAGAAGUAUGCGGAAUGCGUGGUGUAGCGGUGAAAUGCAUAGAUAUCACGCAGAACUCCGAUUGCGAAGGCAGCAUACCGGCGCCCAACUGACGCUGAAGCACGAAAGCGUGGGUAUCGAACAGGAUUAGAUACCCGAGUAGUC